rnacentral:sRNA from 1 species
CGCCUAAACCUCGCCUAAAAGCGUGGCAUGGCACCAAAUCGUUCUGCAUAUUAAACCCGUCAUUAGGGCGUGCAGAACGUUAUAUGGGGAAACCUAUAUAAGCCGCAAGGCU